rnacentral:lncRNA from 1 species
AUCCUGCCCAGCCCAUAGGAGCUGCAGGCAGGAAGAUGCACUUUUUCCACCCGCCAGUGGAUGGACCUCAUUUAUGGAGGGAAUAGAAUCACCCUGGCCCGCGCUGACCAAGCCAUGAUGGAAUCACACUUUGUUAUCUGUAAAUUUAAAGUCCCCUGUGUAAGUUGAAGGCCAUCUGCCAGGGAAGCUCUCCCUGGGGAGCCCCCUGGCCUGACUCUGGCUUGAUCUCUGCUAGCUCAUGGACUCUCAGCCCGCUUUCUCUGGAUCAGCUGUUGCAGAUGCCUCCAGACCACAGUCAGUCUUCUCAAAUCUGAUCAACUGCUGUUUUGUCUAGAGUUCCAGCCUUCCCUCAGCUAGCCUCCAACACAGCCUCCACCAGAGGAAGGCCUUCUUUGCCUGCUCCCCGAGCCUGGUCAGUGCCACCAUCCCCAGGCCUGCAGUCACUGUAACCACUGCCUGUCUCCCCUGUCUGCCCCAGACACAGGCCACAUGGGAAACCAACUCCUUGAUCUGACUGAGUCCCUGUGCUGCACUAAGAAUGCCGCUUCUGUGUGCUUCUGCUCGGAUCCUUGCAUCUAAACAUAGUGGUUAAGGCAGCUCUCAGGAUAUUUCUGCUCUAAAAUAUGUAAUGACAGCACCGUCUAAGUCUGAGCUUCAGAUUCUUCAUCUUAACAAGAGCUGAGCCCUUGUUGGGUGCUGGGCUCUCUGCUGAUACUUUCUUGUGGAUUAUCUUAUUUAAUCCCCUCAAUGGCUAUAUGAGGGUAGCUCUGUUAUUAUCUCCAAUUUACAGACGAUGAAAAUGAGACUUGGAGAGAUAGCUAACCUGCCUUGGGCUGCAUGUUGGGUGGAGCUGGCUAGUGUCCUUCUUGCUGGAUUUAGGCCUGGUCAAGCGGUAGCGGUAGCAAUCAGCUGCUGCAUUUUUAAGACUGUUUUACAAUUUGACAGCUAUAAACAGUGAGUAAGACACUAGAAAAAUUCCAUGUGAUUUUAUAAAUUGCCUUGAUCCAUGCUCUUUGGUUCAAAUCUCACACCUCAACUAUUCAAUACCAAGUUAAAGAUCAACAGGAGGGAAGCCAAUGUUAAGGAAAGACGAUACUAAGUUAUGUUAGCUAUCUGAACAGUACGUGCUCUCACCCCACAAUGUAUCAUAUGGUAAUAAAAAAGUUGUUUUAGAAAUAGGAAUUCUGCAUGGCUACCGUUACUGGGGAGUGGAAAUUGUGGGUGUCACAAUGGAAAAGCAAGAGAUGACUUCUUAUCUCUGGGCUCAAUGGUGCACCCCUGUAAUCCCAGUGGCUCAGGAGGCUGAGACAGG